UUUAAUAUGAGAGUUCGAUCCUGGCUCAGGAUGAACGCUGGCGGCGUGCCUAACACAUGCAAGUCGAACGAGCGAGAGAUGAAACCUAGUGAAUCUCAAGCGAGUG
rnacentral:rRNA from 1 species